CCUACGGGUGGCAGCAGUAGGGAAUUUUGCGCAAUGGGGGAAACCCUGACGCAGCAACGCCGCGUGAUUGAUGAAGCCCUUCGGGGUGUAAAGAUCUGUCAGUGGGGACGAAACUUGACGGUACCCACAGAGGAAGCAUCGGCUAACUCCGUGCCAGCAGCCGCGGUAAGACGGGGGAUGCAAGCGUUGUCCGGAAUCAUUGGGCGUAAAGAGUUCGUAUGUGGUACGUUAAGGCGGGUGUUAAAUGCAGAGGCUCAACCUCUGUUCGGCACUGGAAACUGGCGAGCUUGAGUGCGGUAGAGGUAAGGGGAAGUCCCGGUGUAGCGGUGAAAUGCGUAGAUAUCAGGAGGAACAUCGGGGGCGAAGGCGCUUUACUGGGCCGUAAUUGACGCUGAGGAACGAAAGCCAGGGUAGCAAAUAGGAUUAGAUACCCUAGUAGUC
rnacentral:rRNA from 1 species